CAAAGAAUUUUCCGCGCACCCGCACUAUGAGUUGAGCCUGUCGUUUCAUCUCAAGUUCCGCGAUCAACCUUAUCUACGUCUCUCAUCCCAAGGGCAUCUCUUGAAUCGGAGAGUUACCUUCGGCGACUUUGGUGACAGGUGGUGCAUGGUUGUCGUCAGCUCGUGUCGUGAGAUGUUGUGUUAAGUCCCGCAACGAGCGCAACCCUUGUCUUUAGUUGCAAUCAUUAAGUUGGGCACUCUAGAGAGAUAGCCAGGGAUAACCUGGAGGCAGGUGGGGAUGACGUCAACACAUCAUGCCACUUAUGCUUCGCGCUACACACGUGCUACUCUGGGUAGUACAGAUGGUUGCCAAGCCGUAAGGUGGAGCGAAUCCCUUAAAGCUACUCUCCGUUCGGAUUGUAGGCUGAAAAUCGCCUAAGCGCAGC
rnacentral:rRNA from 1 species